AGAGACAGAGGUGCACUUCCUACUGCACUGUGACAGAUACUCUGGGAUUAGAGAAACAUUCUUCUCUAAAUUCAGAAAUCUAAUCCCAGAGUUCCCACACCUGCCAGAAUCACAACAGGUCCCAGUCCUACUGGGAGAUUGAGGAGGGAACUCAGUUGAACUGGCAGCCCAGUAUGUGAUCUCUUGUCCCAGCUUGAGGAACAGCGAGCCUGUCUCCCAAUGAUGCUCCGUGUGUUUGUAUGUAAAUGUCCCAUGAUGUGUAUAUAUUGUAAAGGUAUGUAAAUGUCUGUAUAUUUUAUGUUAAUUGUAUAUGAUUUGGCAACACCGAGUUCUCCAUUGGUCAUGCCGAUCAAGUUGUUGACGUGAGCUGAGUCUGCUACAGUCUGAUCAGGAGUGGGGACGACUCGGAGCAGCUGAGGCUGAAACGUCACUGGGAUACGAGAGGAAGAGGGCUGUUGCUUUUCCUGGGGGUCCGGUUGGCGGGGCGCGUCGUAUGGUCUCCAGACCCGGACUUCAGCGCGUUUACAGACCCGCGACACUGCUGCCACUGCCGCCGUUUAGCGGGCAGUGAUACAUGUUGCAGAAAAGAGAGGACUGCCCCUUUAAAGAACUGGGCCCCCCCCUCCUCCUCCUCCUCUUCCUCCCCCCCCGCCCGGCCCCUCACCUCCGCCUUGCUGUGGAUCUGCUCCACACCCACCCACACUCGGCACGGACACAGAACCGAAACUGCGCGCACGGCUCUGCACAAAGGCGCUUACUGGGAGUAACAGGAAGAAAAGGCGAGCGUCUGUCUGCUUCGGGAUACAAGACCACUGAAUCAUUUGCAGCACCAGCAGCGGCGGCCAUGUGUGGGAUCUGA
rnacentral:lncRNA from 1 species